rnacentral:rRNA from 1 species
AUACGGAGGGUGCAAGCGUUAUUCGGAAUCACUGGGCGUAAAGGACGCGUAGGCGGGUUGGCAAGUCAGAUGUGAAAUCCUACAGCUUAACUGUAGAACUGCAUUUGAAACUGCUAACCUAGAGUAUGGGAGGGGGAGAUGGAAUUAGUGGUGUAGGGGUAAAAUCCGUAGAUAUCACUAGGAAUACCGAAAGCGAAGGCGAUCUCCUGGAACAUAACUGACGCUAAGGCGUGAAAGCGUGGGGAGCAAACGGGAUUAGAUACCCCAGUAGUCC